AUGGAGUGGCUGGGAAUGUAGCUUAGUGGUAGAAUGCUUGCCUAGCAUACAUGAUUCAUUGGGUUUGAACCCUCAGUACCACAAAGACAGAAAAAGCCAGAAGUGGUGCUGUGGCUCAAGUGGUAGAGAACCAGCCUUGACAAGACUCAGA